CCCUUAGAUGUUCUGGGCAGCACGCGCGCUACAAUGGUCUUCGCAAACGGAUGCAUUCUCGAAGGAGAAUGCCAAUCUUGGAAUCUAUGCCUUGGUCGGGACAGUUGCUUGCAAUUUUUCGACUCGAACCAGGAAUUCCUUGUAAUCGUGAUUCAUCACAUCACGAUGAAUACGUCCCUGCUCUUUGUACACACCGCCCGUCGCUCCUACCGAUCGAAGAGUUAGGUGAAUUGUUUUGAUCGAUAAGAUUUGACUAUGGUCAACUCUCGUUGUGAAAUUCUGUGAAUCUGACUGUUUAGAGGAAGGAAAAGUCGUAACA
rnacentral:rRNA from 1 species